rnacentral:sRNA from 1 species
AGCAGAUCUGCGGAAGGGCAGAAUGGGACUCCAAGCCUGCCUCCUAGGGCUCUUUGCCCUCAUCCUAUCUGGCAAAUGCAGUUACAGCCCGGAGCCUGACCAGCGGAGGACGCUGCCCCCAGGCUGGGUGUCCCUGGGCCGUGCGGACCCUGAGGAAGAGCUGAGUCUCACCUUUGCCCUGAGACAGCAGAAUGUGGAAAGACUCUCGGAGCUGGUGCAGGCUGUGUCGGAUCCCAGCUCUCCUCAAUACGGAAAAUACCUGACCCUAGAGAAUGUGGCUGAUCUGGUGAGGCCAUCCCCACUGACCCUCCACACGGUGCAAAAAUGGCUCUUGGCAGCCGGAGCCCAGAAGUGCCAUUCUGUGAUCACACAGGACUUUCUGACUUGCUGGCUGAGCAUCCGACAAGCAGAGCUGCUGCUCCCUGGGGCUGAGUUUCAUCACUAUGUGGGAGGACCUACAGAGACCCAUGUUGUAAGGUCCCCACAUCCCUACCAGCUUCCACAGGCCUUGGCCCCCCAUGUGGACUUUGGUAACACCUAUGGGGUGAAUGGAGGUUGGGGCACACAGAUCCAGGGGCUGAGGAAGUUUAGAUGCCAUUGGGGACUGGGGGUGGGGUGAGUUGUAAGGUGGGCAUUACAGUCUAUAAGAUCUCCUCAAGCCUGACUUCUCCCUACAGUGGGGGGACUGCACCGUUUUCCCCCAACAUCAUCCCUGAGGCAACAUCCUGAGCCGCAGGUGACAGGGACUGUAGGCCUGCAUCUGGGGGUGACCCCCUCUGUGAUCCGUAAGCGAUAUAACUUGACCUCACAAGACGUGGGCUCUGGCACCAGCAAUAACAGC